rnacentral:rRNA from 1 species
AACGAACGCUGGCGGCAGGCCUAAUACAUGCAAGUCGAGGGAGAAUGUUGGAUUCGUCUGACAUGAAACCGGCGCACGGGUGCGUAACACGUAUGCAACCUACCUUUAACUGGGGUAUAGCUCAGAGAAAUCUGAAUUAAUCCCCAUAAGACUACGACAUGGCAUCAUGAUGUAGUUAAAGCUCCGGCGGUUAAGGAUGGGCAUGCGGUACAUUAGCUAGUUGGUGAGGUAAUGGCUCACCAAGGCUACGAUGUAUAGGGGGUCUGAGAGGAUGAUCCCCAACACUGGUACUGAGACACGGACCAGACUCCUACGGGAGGCAGCAGUAGGGAAUAUUGGUCAAUGGACGCAAGUCUGAACCAGCCAUGCCGCGUGAAGGAUGAAGGCCCUAUGGGUCGUAAACUUCUUUUAUUAGGGAAGAAAAAACGGGAUGCGUCCUGUACUGACGGUACUUAAUGAAUAAGGAUCGGCUAACUUCGUGCCAGCCGCCGCGGUAA